ensembl:lncRNA
GCCCCAUGUGGGGGGAGGCCAGGGAACCCUUUCUCCCUCCACUUCCCUGUGCCCGCCUGCCCAGAUCUGCCAGGGGGGUGUCCUUUUGUGCAGCAUCAUUUCAAUAUUCACCUGUUUGGUGUCUGCAGCACUGAAUGGCAUCGUUCCUUCUCUGACACCCAGGGAACUGGAAAAUGGCAGAAUGGAGACACCCUGGGAGAAGAAGUCACAGGACACAAGCCUAGACUCUAACUAGAGUCCAGCGGGUUUCUGGUCCUUCCUCUGCAUCUAACUUUUCUCAUCCUUAACUGACUCAAACCUCCAAUGCAGUAAAGCAGAUUUU